rnacentral:rRNA from 1 species
UACGUAGGGGGCAAGCGUUGUCCGGAUUUAUUGGGCGUAAAGAGCUCGUAGGUGGUUCGGUAAGUCGGAUGUGAAAUCUCCAGGCUCAACUUGGAGCGGUCAUUCGAUACUGCCGUGACUAGAGUUCGGUAGGGGAGUGUGGAAUUCCUGGUGGAGCGGUGAAAUGCGCAGAUAUCAGGAGGAACACCGGUGGCGAAGGCGGGUCUCUGGACCGUAACUGACGCUGAGACACGAAAGCGUGGGUAGCGAACAGG